rnacentral:SRP_RNA from 2 species
AAUGGGAAGCUUGUAAGAGGUAGUUGGAGAAUCUGUCAGAUCCGAAAGGAAGCAGCGGGGCCAAUGAACUUUGUACAAGCUUCCCUUGUUU